rnacentral:rRNA from 1 species
GAUGAACGCUGGCGGCGUGCCUAAUACAUGCAAGUCGAGCGAACGGACGAGAAGCUUGCUUCUCUGAUGUUAGCGGCGGACGGGUGAGUAACACGUGGAUAACCUACCUAUAAGACUGGGAUAACUUCGGGAAACCGGAGCUAAUACCGGAUAAUAUUUUGAACCGCAUGGUUCAAAAGUGAAAGACGGUCUUGCUGUCACUUAUAGAUGGAUCCGCGCUGCAUUAGCUAGUUGGUAAGGUAACGGCUUACCAAGGCAACGAUGCAUAGCCGACCUGAGAGGGUGAUCGGCCACACUGGAACUGAGACACGGUCAAGACUCCUACGGGAGGCAGCAGUAGGGAAUCUUCCGCAAUGGGCGAAAGCCUGACGGAGCAACGCCGCGUGAGUGAUGAAGGUCUUCGGAUCGUAAAACUCUGUUAUUAGGGAAGAACAUAUGUGUAAGUAACUGUACACAUCUUGACGGUACCUAAUCAGAAAGCCACGGCUAACUACGUG